GAUGAAGAACGCAGCGAAAUGCGAUACUUGGUGUGAAUUGCAGAAUCCCGUGAACCAUCGAGUCUUUGAACGCAAGUUGCGCCCGAAGCCAUUAGGCCGGGGGCACGCCUGCCUGGGCGUCACACGUCGUUGCCCCCCCAUCUACUCCUUCGGGAUUGCGAGGGGCGGAUGAUGGCCUCCCGUGCGCCUCGUCGCGCGGUUGGCAUAAAUGCCAAGUCCUCGGCGACGCACGCCACGACAAUCGGUGGUUGCGAAACCUCGGUUGCCCGUCGUGUGCGGUCGUCGCGCAUCGAGGGCUCGAAAAAAUUGCCGGGCUCCGGCUCGGCUUUCAACGCGACCCCAGGUCAGGCGGGGUUACCCGCUGAAUUUAAGCAUAUCAAUAAGCGGAGGA
rnacentral:misc_RNA from 1 species